UACGGAGGGUGCAAGCGUUGCUCGGAAUUAUUGGGCGUAAAGGGUAGGUAGGUGGUCUCAUUUGUCUGGGGUGAAAGCCUUGAGCUUAACUCAAGAAGUGCCUCAGAAACGGUGAGACUGGAGUCCUGGAGAGGGUCGUGGAAUUCCCGGUGUAGCGGUGAAAUGCGUAGAGAUCGGGAGGAACACCAGAGGCGAAGGCGGCGACCUGGACAGGUACUGACACUAAACUACGAAAGCGUGGGGAGCAAACAGG
rnacentral:rRNA from 1 species